rnacentral:rRNA from 1 species
AUUGAACGCUGGCGGCAGUCCUAACACAUGCAAGUCGAGCGGAUGAGGGGAGCUUGCUCCUGGAUUCAGCGGCGGACGGGUGAGUAAUGCCUAGGAAUCUGCCUGGUAGUGGGGGAUAACGUCCGGAAACGGGCGCUAAUACCGCAUACGUCCUGAGGGAGAAAGUGGGGGAUCUUCGGACCUCACGCUAUCAGAUGAGCCUAGGUCGGAUUAGCUAGUUGGUGGGGUAAAGGCCUACCAAGGCGACGAUCCGUAACUGGUCUGAGAGGAUGAUCAGUCACACUGGAACUGAGACACGGUCCAGACUCCUACGGGAGGCAGCAGUGGGGAAUAUUGGACAAUGGGCGAAAGCCUGAUCCAGCCAUGCCGCGUGUGUGAAGAAGGUCUUCGGAUUGUAAAGCACUUUAAGUUGGGAGGAAGGGCAGUAAGUUAAUACCUUGCUGUUUUGACGUUACCAACAGAAUAAGCACCGGCUAACUUCGUG